UUAGCUCAGCGGUUAGAGCAUUUCAUUCGUAAUGAAAAGGUCCCUAGUUCGAAUCUUGGAAU
rnacentral:ncRNA from 12 species